UACAGAGGUCUCGAGCGUUAGGCGGAAUCACUGGGCUUAAAGCGUGUGUAGGCGGCUCGGUAAGUACCUUGUGAAAUCCCACAGCUUAACUGUGGAACUGCUUGGUAUACUGCCAGUCUUGAGCCACUUAGGGGCUACCGGAACAAAUGGUGGAGCGGUGAAAUGCGUAGAUAUCAUUUGGAACGCCAAUGGUGAAAACAGGUAGCUGGGAGUGUGCUGACGCUGAGACACGAAAGCCAGGGGAGCAAACGGG
rnacentral:rRNA from 1 species